rnacentral:rRNA from 1 species
UACAGAGGGGGCGAGCGUUGUUCGGAAUUACUGGGCGUAAAGGGCGCGUAGGCGGCCUUCUAAGUCGAACGUGAAAUCCCCGGGCUCAACCCGGGAACUGCGUCCGAUACUGGAAGGCUUGAAUCCGGGAGAGGGAUGCGGAAUUCCAGGUGUAGCGGUGAAAUGCGUAGAUAUCUGGAGGAACACCGGUGGCGAAGGCGGCAUCCUGGACCGACACUGACGCUGAUGAGCGAAAGCCAGGGGAGCAAACGGG